AUAUCCUACGGGGCGCAGCAGUGGGGAAUAUUGGGCAAUGGACGCAAGUCUGACCCAGCAACGCCGCGUGAAGGAAGAAGGCUUUCGGGUUGUAAACUUCUUUUAAGGGGGAAGAGCAGAAGACGGUACCCCUUGAAUAAGCCACGGCUAACUACGUGCCAGCAGCCGCGGUAAUACGUAGGUGGCAAGCGUUGUCCGGAUUUACUGGGUGUAAAGGGCGUGCAGCCGGAGAGACAAGUCAGAUGUGAAAACCAUGGGCUCAACCUGUGGCCUGCAUUUGAACCUGUUUUUCUUGAGUACUGGAG
rnacentral:rRNA from 1 species